GUGCCAGCAGCCGCGGUAAGACAGAGGGUGCAAACGUUGUUCGGAAUUACUGGGCGUAAAGCGUGUGUAGGCGGUCCUGUAAGUCGGAUGUGAAAGCCCCGGGCUCAACCCGGGAAGUGCACUCGAAACUGCGGGACUAGAGUAUCGGAGAGGUUGGUGGAAUUCUCGGUGUAGAGGUGAAAUUCGUAGAUAUCGAGAGGAACACCGGCGGCGAAGGCGGCCAACUGGACGAAUACUGACGCUGAGACACGAAAGCGUGGGGAGCAAACAGGAUUAGAUACCCUAGUAGUCC
rnacentral:rRNA from 1 species